rnacentral:rRNA from 1 species
AUUGGACGCUGGCGGCAUGCCUUACACAUGCAAGUCGAACGGCAGCAUGAUCUAGCUUGCUCGAUUGAUGGCGAGUGGCGAACGGGUGAGUAAUACAUCGGAACGUGCCCUGUAGUGGGGGAUAACUAGUCGAAAGAUUAGCUAAUACCGCAUACGACCUGAGGGUGAAAGUGGGGGACCGCAAGGCCUCAUGCUAUAGGAGCGGCCGAUGUCUGAUUAGCUAGUUGGUGAGGUAAAGGCUCACCAAGGCGACGAUCAGUAGCUGGUCUGAGAGGACGAUCAGCCACACUGGGACUGAGACACGGCACAGACUCCUACGGGAGGCAGCAGUGGGGAAUUUUGGACAAUGGGCGAAAGCCUGAUCCAGCAAUGCCGCGUGUGUGAAGAAGGCCUUCGGGUUGUAAAGCACUUUUGUCCGGAAAGAAAUGGCUCUGGUUAAUACCUGGGGUCGAUGACGGUACCGGAAGAAUAAGGACCGGCUAACUACGUG